GUGACCCCAGGUCAGGAAGGAUUACCCACUAAGGUUAA
rnacentral:rRNA from 1 species